CCUACGGGAGGCAGCAGUGAGGAAUAUUGGUCAAUGGGCGGGAGCCUGAACCAGCCAAGUCGCGUGAGGGAAGACGGUCCUAUGGAUUGUAAACCUCUUUAGGCGGGGAGCAAUGCCGGGCACGCGUGCCCGGAGGGAGAGUACCCGCAGAAUAAGCAUCGGCUAACUCCGUGCCAGCAGCCGCGGUAAUACGGGGGAUGCGAGCGUUAUCCGGAUUGAUUGGGUUUAAAGGGUGCGUAGGCGGAUUUUUAAGUCAGCGGUAAAAUGUCCGGGCUCAACCCGGGCCGGCCGUUGAAACUGGGGAUCUUGAGUGGGCGAGAAGUAUGCGGAAUGCGUGGUGUAGCGGUGAAAUGCAUAGAUAUCACGCAGAACUCCGAUUGCGAAGGCAGCAUACCGGCGCCCGACUGACGCUGAGGCACGAAAGCGUGGGGAUCGAACAGGAUUAGAUACCCCAGUAGUC
rnacentral:rRNA from 1 species